CCGGGGCAAAGAGCAGUAGUAAGUCAAACGAUUCCCCGUCAGCUACGUGAGCAGCUGCGUUUAAAGUUCCGUUCCUGUUCCGUUCCAUACCUUCCAGGCGAUCUUAGUGGUGCUUUUACAUUCGGAGUGGGGCUGAUCCAAGCGCAGAGGAGGAGGAGGAGGAGGAGAAGAAGGAGGAGGAGGAGGAGGAAGAGGUAAAGCAAGUCCCGGCGCUCUCCUCCACGGACGGCAUAGCUGCUGCUGCUGCUGUUGCUGCUGUUGCUGUUGCAGCUUGAAGCUAUGUAGAUGAAGAAAAACUUUAUUAUAUGCUAUGUACAGAAGAGGAGAAGGAGCAGGAGGAGGAGGAGGAGGAGGAGGAGGUGCCCAACGACGACUUGGACGAGGAGAAUGAGGAGGAUGAGGAUGGACGUGAAACGACGUAGUGCUCCGCUGUUGCAUUCGUUCAACAAGAUGCGACACCUACAAAAACACGUAAACAGAACAAUUAAAGAGAUUUCAUUUUAAUUCAUACAAUAAAUGCACUAGACUACAUUACGAAA
rnacentral:lncRNA from 1 species